GAUGAAGAACGUAGCGAAAUGCGAUACUUGGUGUGAAUUGCAGAAUCCCGCGAAUCAUCGAGUUUUUGAACGCAAGUUGCGCCCGAAGCCAUUCGGCCGAGGGCACGUCUGCCUGGGUGUCACGCAUCGUUGCCCCCCCAAACUCCGGUUCGGGCGGGGCGGAAGUUGGCCUCCCGUGCGUGCCUGCGCGCGCGGUUAGCCCAAAAGCGAGUCCUCGGCGAUGAGCGCCACGACAAUCGGUGGUUUUUUUACCCUCGUUCCUCGUCGUGCGUGCCCCGUCGCCCGAACGCGCUCUUGCAACCCUUACGCGUCGCCUCGGUGGCGCUCCCAACGCGACCCCAGGUCAGGCGGGACUACCCGCUGAGUUUAAGCAUAUCAAUAAGCGGAGGA
rnacentral:misc_RNA from 1 species